rnacentral:rRNA from 1 species
GUCGAGAAUCUUUCACAAUGGGGGCAACCCUGAUGGAGCGACGCCGCGUGGAGGAUAAGGUCUUCGGAUUGUAAACUCCUGUCAUGCGUGAACAAGGUUGCUUGGUUAAUACCUGAGCAAAUUGAUGGUAGCGCAAGAGGAAGAGACGGCUAACUCUGUGCCAGCAGCCGCGGUAAUACAGAGGUCUCAAGCGUUGUUCGGAAUCACUGGGCGUAAAGGGUGCGUAGGGGGCGUGGCAAGUCAGAGGGGAAAGCCCGGGGCUCAACCUCGGAACUGCAUCCGAUACUGCCAUGGUAGAGUACUGGAGGGGUGACUAGAAUUCUCGGUGUAGCAGUGAAAUGCGUAGAUAUCGAGAGGAAUACCAAAGGCGUAGGCAGGUCACUGGACAGUUACUGACACUGAGGCACGAAGGCCAGGGGAGCGAACGGGAUUAGAUACCCUGGUAGUCC